GCCACCUGUGGUAGUCCCAGCUACUUGGGAGGCUGAGGUGGGAGGGUCGCUUGAGCCCAGGAGUUCUGAGCUGUAGUGAGCUAUGCCAAUUGGUUGGCACUAAGUUAGUGUCGGCACUAAGUUCAGCAUCAAUAUGGUGACCUCCUGGGAGCGGGGGACCACUGGGUUGCCUACGGAGGGGUGAACCGGCCCAGGCUGGAAACGGAGCAGGUCAAAACUUCCGUGCUGAUCAGUAGUGGGAUUUUGCCUGUGAAUAGGCACUGCACUCCAACCUGGGCAACAUAGUAAGAUCCCGUCUCU
rnacentral:SRP_RNA from 1 species